rnacentral:tRNA from 1 species
GGAUGUGUAGCUCAGUGGUAGAGUGCUUGCCUAGCAUGUGGGAGGCCCUGGGUUCAAUUCUCAGUACCA